UAUAGAUAAUAGAUCGUAGUCUGGCUCUAGAUCUAGAGCAGAUGAUGAAAUACUAAUAGAAAUAUGGUUUGCAUUUGAUUUGUCACAGACCUAUAGUGUCCUAAAAUAGCCUAUAUGCUAUAGAUUCAAGAUAUGGACAAUAUGGUAUAGUUACUAGAUCUAUAUUAAAACCGUAUAGAUCUAGUAAAUAAAGAUCUAGAUCAGUGAUUUGAUGUAGAGUCCAGGUCUGUGAUUUGGACCCGUACUCUCUCUCUCUCUCUCUCUCUUCUUAUAUAGGUCUGUGAUUUUAGAAUUACAACAGUAAAAACUCUCCACAUUAACAAGUACAUACUAAAGAUAAACUUAAAAUAACAUGGCUGGAGAUAAUGCAUUGAAGGAUAGUCCCAGAGAACAGUCAAUGUCAGACAAACAUUUUCUUUCAAAGGCUGAAAAUCUCAACAUAAAAAAAGGAAAGAAAAUUAUGGCUUUAAAGGGCAAAAAUAAGCUUGUGGGCUUAGUCUUAGCUAGUAGUGUUGUUGGAAUUUAUGCCUACACAAUGCUAUCAGUGCGGCAAGGCAAGAUGAUGGAAGCAUUUGACAAAGUACCAGAGUGACACUGCUGACUUAUCAUAGGAUGCUCUUGUAUCAGCAGAGACUUCAUGCUUGACCUCUUCAUGUUUAAAUAGCAAAUAUUGUUAGUUUGAUUUUUUUUUUUU